GCCAGCCCGCUCAGAAACUCAAAGGAAUUGACGGGGCCGCACAAGCGGAGGAGCAUGUGGUUAAUUCGAUGAUACGCGAGGAACCUUACCUGGGCUCGAACGUAAGAUGACUGUAGGUGAAAGCUUACAUCUCUUCGGAGCAUUUUACGAGGUGCUGCAUGGUUGUCGUCAGCUCGUGCCGUGAGGUGUCGGGUUAAGUCCCAUAACGAGCGCAACCCCUACCUUUAGUUGCCAUCAGGUUAAGCUGGGGACUCUAAAGGAACUGCCUACGCAAGUAGUGAGGAAGGCGGGGAUGACGUCAAAUCAGCACGGCCCUUACGUCCAGGGCUACACACGUGCUACAAUGGCCGAUACAGAGGGCAGCUACCUGGUGACAGGAUGCAAAUCUCCAAAGUCGGUCUCAGUUCGGAUCGGAGUCUGCAACCCGACUCCGUGAAGUUGGAUUCGCUAGUAAUCGCGCAUCAGCCAUGGCGCGGUGAAUACGUUCCCGGGCCUC
rnacentral:rRNA from 1 species